GAAAUGCGAUAAGUAAUGUGAAUUGCAGAAUUCAGUGAAUCAUCGAAUCUUUGAACGCACCUUGCGCUCCUUGGUAUUCCGUGGAGCAUGCCUGUUUGAGUAUCAUGAAAUCUUCAAAGUAAAUCUUUUGUUAACUCAAUUGGUUUCUACUUUGGUAUUGGAGGUCUUUGCAGCUUCACACCUGCUCCUCUUUGUUCAUUAGCUGGAUCUCAGUGUUAUGCUUGGUUCCACUCGGCGUGAUAAGUUAUCUAUCGCUGAGGACACUGUAAAAGGUGGCCAAGGUAAAUGCAGAUGAACCGCUUCUAAUAGUCCAUUGACUUGGACAAUACUUUUAUGAUCUGAUCUCAAAUCAGGUAGGACUACCCGCUGAACUUAAGC
rnacentral:misc_RNA from 1 species